GUAAUAAAUAUGUGCGUUUGUGAUGUCAACAAUGAGUAUGGUGCCUGUUUGGUCAUGCUGCCCAACCUGCCCAACAUGUGGCAGAAGAAACAGAUGUUGAAAAUGGCAAUCACCAAGGUCCAAAGAAGAGGCCCUCCUAUAAUUUUCUAGAGAAAACCUCCAGAUAUGGUCCCAAAAAAGUGUGGAGGAGACCAAGGAGACAUUUUCUCUGAUAGUAAGACAGAGAAGUUCUGAGAAAAAUAAUUGCUGGCUUGCCUGUCCUUUGCUUCUAAGAGAAUGGGGAGAUGCCACCUGCUUCCUGAUGCAAACAGAGUCUGUAGCCCAUACCUGAGGAAUACGCAAUACAACUUGCUGCCAUUUUUCUCAAAGGAAUUCACUCUUCCCCGGGGCUCUGCAGAUUGUGGAAGUAUCCAACUCCAGAAAACAUCUGUCCCACCAGCCCAGGCCAUGGAGCAAAAUGCGCAGGAAGAAAGUACAGGAGGAAGACACAAGAGAACAAACCACAAUGCCCAUGCAAGGCAAAGGAAAGUGGAAAAAAAAACAAGCCCAAGAACAGAUGGAGGAAAGAAUCAGCAACUAACUGGAAAAGGAAGGAAAACAGAGCAGCAGAACAUGAAAGAGCAAAGUGGACUUCAAUGUAAUUACGUUUUCAGUCCUGGAAAGAACAGCGAUAGGGGGUAUGUGUACAAAUCAAGGAGCCAUCCUCCACCAUGGUGGCCAGGCUCCUGUCCCCACACAGUGACUGGGACAGUGUCUUAGCAUCCACAAUGCCUAGAGGAGUGGGCCCCGAAUGCCUGCUCAUUAAAUAUGUGUGGAAGGGAGGAGAGACAUUUAUGACAAGAACCCAGGAAAUCAAGAGGAAAAGAGAGUAAGACUACACCUGAAGACUAAACCUAGCCUCCAGGACUAGGAAACCAAAGCAAAUAAAGAGGGGAUACCAAAGCA
rnacentral:lncRNA from 1 species